GUCUCACAACACUGCCCCUCUGCUUGUCCACAAAUGCACAUUGUCUGUGAGGGGGAGUAGUGGGGCACAUCAAAUAGUUCCUCUUUCAGUGUGAAGCUGCAGUUUAUAAGGUGCCAUGUUUCUAGUUCACUCAGGUUUUGGUGCCGUGCAGUGUAUGAAGAUGUGGACUCUCGCUGCAGACCGCUGGAUCUGUCUGCUCGCUCUGGCUGCAGUGAUGCUCGUCUCUGCAGGGUUCGAGUUAAGUGUGGAGAUUGGGAGUGUAUCAACUCUGAUUCAAAGUGGAUUAAAAAGGAGAUGGACAUGGGCAACAUAAGCUGUCGUCCAGAAUAAAGAAAAUGAGAAAUGGGAAUUGAUGUGGAGCAGCAAAAACCACGCAGCUACUGUGAUCAACUGCGAUGAACAACUCCUUAUGGCUUUUAUGAAUAUAUUCUUUACAUUUCUUGCUUUUAUGGAAUUUCUUUCUGCAGCUUGAAUUAUGUCCAGGUCAUAAGUGAGCAUGAAGUUAGUGAGAGCUACUAAAAUGUUUUUUCCAAACACAUAUUAGAAGUAUUUCUUCCAAUUUUAGUCAAGGUUGUCAA